GGAUAGCUCAGCUGGUUAGAGCAUGGUGCUCAUAAUGCCAAGUUUGCAGGUUCGAUCCCCAUAAGGGACA
rnacentral:tRNA from 1 species